GRCGCACGAAGGUUUCGGCCUUAGUGGCGGACGGGUGAGUAACGCGUAGGUAUCUAUCCAUGGGUGGGGGAUAACACUGGGAAACUGGUGCUAAUACCGCAUGACACCUGAGGGUCAAAGGCGCAAGUCGCCUGUGGAGGAGCCUGCGUUUGAUUAGCUAGUUGGUGGGGUAAAGGCCUACCAAGGCGAUGAUCAAUAGCUGGUUUGAGAGGAUGAUCAGCCACACUGGGACUGAGACACGGCCCAGACUCCUACGGGAGGCAGCAGUGGGGAAUAUUGGACAAUGGGGGCAACCCUGAUCCAGCAAUGCCGCGUGUGUGAAGAAGGUCUUCGGAUUGUAAAGCACUUUCGACGGGGACGAUGAUGACGGUACCCGUAGAAGAAGCCCCGGCUAACUUCGUGCCAGCMGCCGCGGUAAU
rnacentral:rRNA from 1 species